rnacentral:lncRNA from 1 species
CAAUUAUCGAAGAGAUAACAGGUGAAUCAAAAUAAAUCAAAAAACAACAUCCUAGAAGAUCAUUAAGAAAUAUAAAUAUUAAAUAACAAUAUAAAAAUUGGAAAAUCCUCAUACAAAUCCUGAAAUCCACCCCACUACAUUGUCACCGGAAGUCUGGAAUUUGGAAAUACCAAUUACCAACUAUAGAAGCAAAAGAAAUUGACAAAUUGAAAGACACCAGCCAGCCUAACAAUUUUAUAUGUAACAGUGGCUCACAGUCACGCAUAAUUUUUUUUUUCAGUUUUAUGUAUAUAUAGCUAUUCAAUUUUCCAUGUUGGCACAACAUCCUGAAAAAUUCGGGUUUGAUCAUUCAAUGGGAGGGCCUACAAUUCUGUUCAGAUCAGAUGUAUUUAUAAAUAUGAAAAAAAAUUAUAUUUCUAAUAAAUAAAUUAAAAUCAGCGACUACCUAAAUAAUGGAAUUUGGCCAACAAAACCAGUCAUCUUCAAACAAGUGGCCGCCCCUUCUUCUUUAUUUUUCUUCAGAAAAAAUAAAUAAAUUGUGGGUUUGUUACCUCAAUGCAACACUUCAACAGCCAACAGGAAGAUGAAGAGGAAGUACUCGGUUGGUCGGAUAAUCAGAUUUCUUGCCGGAGCUUUUGCGGGUAGUCUUCAGGGAUUGUCCAAUGAUCAAUUGGUAGUGAAGAUUGUAUUUAAG